rnacentral:rRNA from 1 species
UACGUAGGUGACAAGCGUUGUCCGGAUUUACUGGGCGUAAAGAGCGCGCAGGCGGUCGUUCAAGUCGAGUGUGAAAGCCCCCGGCUCAACUGGGGAGGGUCACUCGAUACUGAUCGACUCGAAGGCAGGAGGGGGAAGUGGAAUUCCCGGUGUAGUGGUGAAAUGCGUAGAUAUCAGGAGGAACACCGGUGGCGAAGGCGGGUCUCUGGGCCGAUACUGACGCUGAGGAGCGAAAGCAUGGGUAGCGAACAGG